rnacentral:lncRNA from 1 species
UUGUAUAAUAAAAAUAUUAAAAUUUCAUGAAACUAUACUACUAAAUACUUCUAGAUCUAAAUACUAAACUAUGAACUAAAAACCGAAUCUACUAUACUAACUAAGCUACAUUUUUAACAUCUAAAAGCACACAACAUAUCUGUAGAUCUAAAUAUUAAACUAUGAACUAAAUACCGAAUCUACUGUACAAACUAAAAGCAUAAGAUAUUUUUAGAUCUACUAUACUACGAUAUUGAAAAACUUACCUGAUGCCUAGGAGGCUUCUUCCCCUUCUUUCCUCUCUUUCUUUCUUCCUACCCUUCCUUCUCUCCCUCUCUGGUUCUCCUCUCAAAAACAAUAGGUCUGGCUCAAGAGUUGGGAGGCUUGAGGUCUGGCGGGGGGUUUUAUAGGGGAACCGCCGCCGGCCCAGGCGGCGGUAAGGGGCCUUAUCGCCGGCCUAGGCGGCGGAUCCUUACCGCCCGCGCGCUGGUCGUACCACAGCGGUGCAGGAGGCCAAGUCCUUACGGUCGGCCCAAAGGUCCUUAUUGCUGGUCCAGGAGGUGGUAGGGCCUUAUCGCCGGCCCAGGCGGUGGUAAGGACACACGCCCGCAGUGUCGGCACCUUACCGCCGGCUGAGGCGGCUGUAAGGCCUUAUCGUCGGCCCAGCCGGCGGCAAUAGCCUAGAUUUGCAAUUUUUCAUCUGACUAUAUAUUUCUGCAAAAUCAAAAAAAAUAUAUAAAAAUAAAAAACCAC